AUGGCAAAGCGUGACCAGAAGGAGGCGUCUCUCUUGGUGCUCGUGGCCAUGGUGGUCGUCAUGGUCGUUCUCGCCGUCCAGGUGAAGUCGGUGGUGGCGGCCGGCGAGUACACCGAGGCCAUGAUGAAAGUUGUGAGGGAACAAGUGAAUGCCGUUAACUUCACCGGAAACGACGCCCGCCCCGGCCUCAUCCGGCUCAUGUUCCACGACUGCUUUGUCAAUGGUUGUGAUGGAUCCGUGCUGCUGAUGACCUCGCGCGAAAGCAGCGCCGAUGGGACGACGGAGAAGGACUCGGGCUUCAACAUCGGCCUCCGUGGCUUCGAGGUGAUCGACAAGAUCAAGGAGAAGCUCGCCGACUACAAGGUCACCUGCACCGACGCCGUCAUCUACGCGGCGCGCGAGGCAGUCUACCUGCUGAGCAACGGCAAAAUCGCCUACAACGUCGACGGGCCGGGCCGCAAGGACGGCGUCAUCUCCAGAUCAGAGGACCCGGAAAAAUACCUUCCAACCCCCAGCUCCGACUUCGCGGUCCUCGUGAAAAAGUUCACCGACAAGGUCGUCUUCACUGAGAAGGAUGUCGUCGCCCUCUCCGGCGCGCACGCAGUGGGCGUCGCUCACAGCACGACCAUUAACGUCACUGGUACCCCUGAAAUGUACCAAACGGCCGUCGGCUGGGAAACAUUCAAGGAUCCAAAUGCAGUUAAGAACAACGUCCGCGAGUACGACGGCGGCCCGCUGAAGAUCUCCUCCGGUUACAAAGACGACAACAAGGAGAGAAUGGCGGCGAAGGGCGUCCUGGACAACAGCUUCUACAACGCCGUCCUCCAGAAGAUGGCGCUUUUCCCAUCCGACAGGGUGCUGGGGGUGAACGCGGUGACCAAGGUGAGGGAGUACAUGAAUAAUGCCGGCACGUGGAACAACGACUUCGGCAGCGCCAUGGAAAAGCUCAGCAAGCUCCGCGCCACGAGCGACCCUUCCAAGAUCGAGAUCAGGAACGUGUGCAGUAAGACCAACUAG
rnacentral:rRNA from 1 species